rfam:Oryza glumipatula chromosome 1, whole genome shotgun sequence.
AAUAAGUGUAGUUUUACACUAUUCAUGUUCAAUGUUUAACCGUUCGUCUUAUUUGAAAAAAAUUUAUGAUUAGUAUUUUUAUUGCUAUUAGAUGAUAAAACAUGAAUAGUACUUUAUGUUUGACUAAAUAUUUUCAAUUUUUUGACAAAAUUUUCAAACAAGACGGACGGUCAAACGUUGGGCACGGAUAUCCACGGCUGCACUUAUU